rnacentral:rRNA from 1 species
UACGAAGGGGGCUAGCGUUGCUCGGAAUUACUGGGCGUAAAGCGCACGUAGGCGGCUCUUUAAGUCGGGGGUGAAAUCCUGGAGCUCAACUCCAGAACUGCCUUCGAUACUGAAGAGCUUGAGUCCGGGAGAGGUGAGUGGAACUGCGAGUGUAGAGGUGAAAUUCGUAGAUAUCAGGAGGAACACCAGUGGCGAAGGCGGCUCACUGGACCGGAACUGACGCUGAGGCGCGAAAGCGUGGGGAGCAAACAGGG